UAGUCGAGAGGGUGCCUGAGCUGACCUACUCUGGUGAUCAGAUGGCUGAAUACCCUAACUGUCAUCAUAGAACCCUCAUCCAGUAACUGAUGGAAGCAGAUGCAGAGAUCCAUGGCCAGCUCAUGGAACUUUCUCCAAAACUGACUAAAUACUAGGAUACAAACCAAGUCCCGACAGAUCAAAGAAAACUGAAUAAAACUCAGCAUCUUGUCUGACCUUCAUGGAUUAGAGCAGGACAUAAACAACAAUAGAAAUAGCAGAAAUGAUACAAACUCAUGGAAACUGAACAACUUACCACACAUGAAAAAUGGGUCAAGACAGAAAUCCGGAAGGAAAUUACAAACAUUCUGGAACAGAACAAGAAUGAACACACAGUACGUGCAAUCACAAGGGAAGCAACAAAGGCGCUUCUAAGAACCAAGCUCAUUGCACCAAGUCCCUGCACCAAAGCCCUGGGGAGAUCUUCUAUCAGCUACUUAACCACACACCCAAAAGCUCUAGGAUAAAGGGAGGAAACAAUGCCCUAGAAGAGUACAUGGGAAGAAAUGAUCAAACUCAGAAUCAAAUCAAUAAAAUGGAAACAAAAAAUAA